ACUGGGCAUAAUGCAAGUUGUGCAAGCUGACAUAUAAGAGUGGGUACUGCCCAGCACCAGGCGUUUCGCAACGCGAGUAUGUGUGGCGAAUGCUGUGCAUCGUCUGGUGCAGGGAGUCCUGAGAAGGCACAAAAGGCAAACCUCGCUGUCCAAGCAGGGGAUGCGUAGCAAGGGAAAUCACUACUUAUGUGCUCCCUCUAUUAAGAAAGAAAAUUUUGCUUGAGCUGUAGUUCUGUGGCAGUUUUCAGCAUGCAGCCGAAAGUGCUCGCUUUCAGGGGCGGGGGGGGGGGGGGGAGGCAACUGACAAACUUUGCCCCUCCCCUCAGGCUCCCGGUAGAUACGCCUAUCUUUCAUGCCUACCAUAUAGUUGAGCCUUCAUUCGGAUAUACCACAUUGUUAUGUACAGCCUAAGACGUGGCCCGGAAUCCAAGCAAUGCAAGCCUAGGCAGGAAGGCAUGGACUACUUGCCGCACCGAAUAAACCAUUUUCUAGCUUUACAGUUUGCAUGGACAAUAACACAGUAAUUUCUGUUUCAUAUAGAAAACAAAAAUUGCAGGAUAAAAGCAAAUGCUAUGUUUUACAAGUUAGAACAGCAUGGUAAUUCAUGAACACGUGCGUAAUUGGUAAAGACGCGUCUAAAAAAAAUUAUUAACACUAGUGUGUAGUAUCGGAGUGCGGAUAAUUUUUGUUUAUGUUGAAGGGCACAGCCGUAUAGGCAUUGCUGAGUUGGCAGUUGGACCAGACGGACUCACAUUCUGGAAGGCUGUUAAUGUAUAGCCAUACGCGCUGGAAUUGCAGGAAGUUAGACGACGCCACCGUUUCCCACGAUCUCCUCGUGCUUGGGCCACUGGGGAAGCAGGGAAGCCCGGGUGGCCACGCUGGUUGCCGGGGGGCUAACCCGGUUGCAGCUUUGGUUUUGGGCCUCUGUAAUCUACCGAAUGCAGCAGCCGGGAAUACCUCAGCCAGCACAGGCCAUCUACGGGUGGUGCUACAUGAUUACGGCUUACGGCGAUCCGGUGGCGUCCACUGCGCUCGCCUGCUUGCCCGUAUUCGGCCCGCAUGAGUACUCGGAGGCCCAGGCUGUGCUGGCUGCUGUUGUCAUGGUGGUGACGCCGUGCCUCCUUACAGCAGCUACCUACCUCAAGGUCAUGGCAGAGAACGACAAUGGGACCUGAACCACCCCGGCACUGAAGGCGCUAUGCAGUCUCUAUGGCGUGGCCUGCAUUGUGGGCUUAGCCACGGGGGCCAUCAAGGACGCCCUCCUACCUGAUUGGCAGCUCUUUGGUCAAAUGGUUUUCGUCCUCAUGGAGCAAGCACUCAUGGUUUUGCAAUUUUUGCACUGUUUAGUGUUCUCUCUCAUCGUGUACGAAUAAACGAUUCAU